rnacentral:rRNA from 1 species
UGGGGAAUUUUGCACAAUGGGGGAAACCCUGAUGCAGCGACGCCGCGUGAUUUAGAAGGCCUUCGGGUUGUAAAAAUCUUUUCUAUGGGAAGAAAAUGACAGUACCAUAGGAAUAAGGACCGGCUAAUUACGUGCCAGCAGCCGCGGUAAUACGUAAGGUCCGAGCGUUGUCCGGAAUCAUUUGGCGUAAAGGGUACGUAGGCGGGUAAGCAAGUUAGAAGUGAAAUCCUAUAGCUCAACUAUAGUAAGCUUUUAAAACUGCUCAUCUUGAGGUAUGGAAGGGAAAGUGGAAUUCCUAGUGUAGCGGUGAAAUGCGCAGAUAUUAGGAGGAAUACCGGUGGCGAAGGCGACUUUCUGGCCAUAACCUGACGCUGAGGUACGAAAGCGUGGGUAGCAAACAGG